rfam:Picea glauca, whole genome shotgun sequence.
UUCUCAUUUAUGUAGAAAUUUUAUAUGAAUUCCUUAUUUAAAUAGGAAGGGUUCACUUUGCAUGAAUUUUGAAAGAGAAUUGGGUUAAUAUUCCUGGACCAGGACAUGGUGGUGGACGACAAUUUUAGGAAAUCUGGAGAUGUCAUCGGGGGCCUGGGAAGAGUUAUAUUUUCUUUUUAACGACUUUCCGACCCUAAAAUCGGUUCAACCAGAGAUAGGGUCCAACAUUUGGAAGAUCACCACAUGUAUUAUAGUUUUUGGUGCCCCCUCAGUGGCCAUUGAAAAUAUGGAGAAUCGAGUACCAUCCAUGCCUGA